AGUUGGACGUCACAAAAUCUUAUUAGAAACAAAUAGUCAGUAAAAGUUUCAAUAAAUUGAUAUCCCUAUAUAGUGCUUAAUUGGUUGUGAUUACAAUGUUUAUAAGCUCUUUAUUAUAUUCUUCGUAAUGUUGUUUAAACUAUUCUUUCAAAAGUUUCAUAAUAUCGGAAUAACCAUUUUCUUUUGCAAACAUAUACGGAGUACGUCUGUAAUUGUCCUGUAUUUGUAAUUUCUGCACAAUUAUCUAUUAAUAUCUUCACAAUAUCACCAUGUCCAUUGAAUCAAGCUAUGUGAACAGCUGUUUUUUUUUCAGAAUGGUCUCUUUUCUUUAUAUUCAUACCGACAUCAAUCAAUAGCUUUGAUAUUUCUUAAUGUUCAUUAGAACAAGCUACAUGUAAAAGCU
rnacentral:lncRNA from 1 species